GCAAGUCGAGCGGUAGAGAGAAGCUUGCUUCUCUUGAGAGCGGCGGACGGGUGAGUAAUGCCUAGGAAUCUGCCUGGUAGUGGGGGAUAACGUUCGGAAACGGACGCUAAUACCGCAUACGUCCUACGGGAGAAAGCAGGGGACCUUCGGGCCUUGCGCUAUCAGAUGAGCCUAGGUCGGAUUAGCUAGUUGGUGGGGUAAUGGCUCACCAAGGCGACGAUCCGUAACUGGUCUGAGAGGAUGAUCAGUCACACUGGAACUGAGACACGGUCCAGACUCCUACGGGAGGCAGCAGUGGGGAAUAUUGGACAAUGGGCGAAAGCCUGAUCCAGCCAUGCCGCGUGUGUGAAGAAGGUCUUCGGAUUGUAAAGCACUUUAAGUUGGGAGGAAGGGUUGUAGAUUAAUACUCUGCAAUUUUGACGUUACCGACAGAAUAAGCACCGGCUAACUCUGUGCCAGCAGCCGCGGUAAUACAGAGGGUGCAAGCGUUAAUCGGAAUUACUGGGCGUAAAGCGCGCGUAGGUGGUUUGUUAAGUUGGAUGUGAAAUCCCCGGGCUCAACCUGGGAACUGCAUUCAAAACUGACUGACUAGAGUAUGGUAGAGGGUGGUGGAAUUUCCUGUGUAGCGGUGAAAUGCGUAGAUAUAGGAAGGAACACCAGUGGCGAAGGCGACCACCUGGACUAAUACUGACACUGAGGUGCGAAAGCGUGGGGAGCAA
rnacentral:rRNA from 1 species